rnacentral:rRNA from 1 species
UGGGGAAUAUUGCACAAUGGGCGCAAGCCUGAUGCAGCCAUGCCGCGUGUAUGAAGAAGGCCUGCGGGUUGUAAAGUACUUUCAGCGGGGAGGAAGGGAGUAAAGUUAAUACCUUUGCUCAUUGACGUUACCCGCAGAAGAAGCACCGGCUAACUCCGUGCCAGCAGCCGCGGUAAUACGGAGGGUGCAAGCGUUAAUCGGAAUUACUGGGCGUAAAGCGCACGCAGGCGGUUUGUUAAGUCAGAUGUGAAAUCCCCGGGCUCAACCUGGGAACUGCAUCUGAUACGGGUGAGAUUAAGUCUCGUAGAGGGGGGUAGAAUGCCAGGUGUAGCGGUGAAAUGCGUAGAGAUCUGGAGGAAUACCGGUGGCGAAGGCGGCCCCCUGGACGAAGACUGACGCUCAGGUGCGAAAGCGUGGGGAGCAAACAGG